GGAACAGCAGCCAAUCCCAACCCUCUCUGAAUCUGGACUGGAGGAAUCUACUCAAAAACACCUGGGUGCCAAAUGGGGCGCAUCACUUGCCCAGGGAAGUGAGGGAAGGAGGCGACACCCCGGGAUUGGACCGGGUCUGUAUAAUAUAUAUUUUUUCUCCGGCUGGUGCAGAGUUCGCUCUCCUCUCCUCAAAAUUACCUUCGGCAAAGUUUGUCAGGACUUAUUGAGGCCUUGGCGCGCGUUUUGGCCCUUGCUGCGCUUGAGUCGACGACGCCACCUCCUUUUUUCCCCUCCGAAGGCGCGGACGCCUUUGAGAAGACACGGCCAAAACAACGACGCCAGAGCCAAGGGGGCAGGCAGGAAUUAACUGCUUAGCUCGGUAACUUAGCAAGCCAGUCAGUCCAUGCUUGAGGUGGAGGAGCCCAAAUUAUCAUGGCCACAAAACCCGAUUAUAAUAAUAAUAAACUCUGCAACCCAGACAAAACAUUUAUCUCCUCGCCGCUCUGCCACAAGGACCCGCGUGGUCAGGAUUCAUGGCGACCCUCCGAUUCUGUGGAGAAUUGUCUUUCCUCAUGCGUGCGUGAGAGAAAAAGAGAAGGAAAGGUGGAACCGCACUUCGGACACUUUAAUAAAGACUAGUUAAACUCUGGCAAGGGCUUGCAGCGCCAUCUUGGAUCGCGACUGCUCAGAAAGCAAGAGCUACAGAUUCCUGGACUCAAUCGAGCUCAGCUUCCUCCCGUUAGUUCUUAAUCUUGCUCCGGAGUUGGAGAGGCUGCUUGGCUCCUGGGCUUGCUAACCGAGCUUGACUUCACGAGAGUGCAGGAACACUCUUUGCGGGGCCCCCGCACAAAAGGCGAUGAUUUAAUGAGGAGGAGAAACAAACUGGCUGAUUGUUGGCGCUCGCAACUUCCUCGGGAGUCCCCCUGGCAGCCACAAGCUGAUCUCUGCGCCUUCAAUGCGGCUCGCCUUCGGGAGGAGAGGCCGGCCUGAAUAGAGGACAAAGGCGGCUUGUUCUGUUUAUUUACCCUCCCUACAAGCUGGGUUAACCUCUCCCAAACAGCCCAGGCUAAGCCCGUUAGCCGCACAGCCCAGAUGACCCGCUGCAGAAUCGCCACUGUCAUGCAAACGAGCCUCCUCGGGCCCCGACGAGAAGAUCCACCAGCUCCACCCUCUCCCCAAGCAAGCUGGAGGCGGGGCACCCAGGGGUGGGACUGCGGAAACACACAGGCUGGAUGCCAAGAAUAGGAGGCCAUUUGCAUGGAUUUGAUCAACAUCAAGUUCACAUUGCAAAAGAUGCAGGAAGAGAAAAGAAAUAACAUUUUUGGAGGGCAGAUGAAAAAGAACUCCACAAUCCUUAAUGCCAUUUUUGUGUGCCUAUCCAGUAUUAGGCUGUAGAAAACAGAAGGUACUUUUUUACCAUUGACUGCAAAGGGCUCUCUGUGUGUGGUUGUAAAUGUUAUCAGUUUUCAGAACUUCAUAGAAGAGGUGCUUUUAAGAUAUUAGAAUAAGACUCCUGAAAUAAUAAUAAAAAUUUGACAGCCGCUAUAUCUUUUCACACAUGUUUAUUGGAUUUAAAGGAAAUAAAAAAGAAAUGCCAAAAUAGGACAGAAGAGAACUAUUAUGUAGGAUGUGACUGUAUUAUGUGGCACUGGAAUUUCAGCAAAUAUUUUGGCUGAUAAAUGCAUUCAUAUAAAAUACAAAAUGGAGUGGUGUUUUAACCCACCUUUUUCCAGUUAUGUGACUUAUUCAAUUGAUAUAUGGCUUUAAGCAGAAAUGCCAGCUAAAUUAUAUUGAUGUUUCUUACCUUAAAAUUGAGUAAGCCCAUUGCUGUUUCCACAAAAGGGAGGAAAUUCAUAGGUUCUACAAGUACCCGGCCUUUUAAAUGGUGUGCAAAUUUCUCUGUAAACUAAGCACCGCAGAGGGAAAUGAUCAGUUUCGUUUUUAUAAAAAAAUAAAAUCUAUAAAAUGGUACGACUUA